UGACCGCUGGCGGCGUGCCUACUACAUGCAAGUCGAGCGAACGGACGCGAAGCUUGCUUCUCUGAUGUUAGCGGCGGACGGGUGAGUAACACGUGGAUAACCUACCUAUAAGACUGGGAUAACUUCGGGAAACCGUAGCUAAUACCGGAUAAUAUUUUGAACCGCAUGGUUCAAAAGUGAAAGACGGUCUUGCUGUCACUUAUAGAUGGAUCCGCGCUGCAUUAGCUAGUUGGUAAGGUAACGGCUUACCAAGGCAACGAUGCGUAGCCGACCUGAGAGGGUGAUCGGCCACACUGGAACUGAGACACGGUCCAGACUCCUACGGGAGGCAGCAGUAGGGAAUCUUCCGCAAUGGGCGAAAGCCUGACGGAGCAACGCCGCGUGAGUGAUGAAGGUCUUCGGAUCGUAAAACUCUGUUAUUAGGGAAGAACAUAUGUGUAAGUAACUGUGCACAUCUUGACGGUACCUAAUCAGAAAGCCACGGCUAACUACGUG
rnacentral:rRNA from 1 species